rnacentral:rRNA from 1 species
UACGUAGGGUGCAAGCGUUAAUCGGAAUUACUGGGCGUAAAGCGUGCGCAGGCGGCUUUGCAAGACAGAUGUGAAAUCCCCGGGCUUAACCUGGGAACUGCAUUUGUGACUGCAGGGCUGGAGUGCGGCAGAGGGGGAUGGAAUUCCGCGUGUAGCAGUGAAAUGCGUAGAUAUCAGGAGGAACGCCGGUGGCGAAAGCGACUCUCUGGGCCGCUCCUGACACUAAAGCGCGAGAGCUAGGGGAGCAAACAGG